UACGUAGGGUGCAAGCGUUGUCCGGAAUUAUUGGGCGUAAAGAGCUCGUAGGCGGUCUGUCGCGUCGGAUGUGAAAAUCCAGGGCUCAACCCUGGACCUGCAUUCGAUACGGGCAGACUAGAGUUCGGUAGGGGAGACUGGAAUUCCUGGUGUAGCGGUGAAAUGCGCAGAUAUCAGGAGGAACACCGGUGGCGAAGGCAGGUCUCUGGGCCACUACUGACGCUGAGAAGCGAAAGCAUGGGGAGCGAACAGG
rnacentral:rRNA from 1 species